CCAUUAUUCCACUCCUGUUCUAGAUGUCCUCGAGACCCUCUUAAGUGCCCCAGGCACCGCCAUUCCUGACUGAAGAAUGACACUUUGGCUAUGGCACUAACAACAACAAUAAUAAUAGCUACCAUCUGGAGCGCUUCACUCCCAGCCUGGCAGUGAGCUCCGUUUUACAUACAUUAUCCUGCUUCGUCCUCAUAAUAGCCCCAGCAGGCAAUCCAUACUCUCAAUUUUCCAAGUGGAAAAGGGAGGCCCUGGUGGGUGAGUAACCAGGCCAUCAGCAGAGCAGGGAACCAGGUGGGGUGGACAGAGAGUCCAUGCUGUCAAGGCCCCAGCUCAUGUGACACCGUGCCUGCUGGAGCCGGCCUUGAGCACAGCCUACAGGGCCAGGGCUGUGAAGGAAAUCAUGGGAUGCGGUCUCCGUUCCCUGUGUAUCCAUUCAACAAAGUUGGAAAGACCACAGCACAGAAAGUCAAGCAAUUUGCCCGAGGCCCUACAGCUAGCAAGCAGCAGGACUGGGCUUCAGCCCCAGGCAGUGAGGGUCUGAGCCCUCUCCCUGCCCACCACCCUGUGGUGGUCUGACCCGUGGAGGAUGAAGAAGGGACUAGCAGGUAACACAGUGGGAAGAGAGUGCUUGGGCAGAGACCCUAAUGCCAAGGCACCAAGGAAGAUGUUUGGCUUAUUCCAUGAACAUUGAGGACGCCAUGAAGCUUAAGCAGAGUGGCUGGGAGGACCAUGUGCCUCAGCCCCUCUGUGGAACAAGGGCAGAAGUGCAUCUGUGACUUCUGCCUCACGUGCCCAAGAGGAAGUUCUUGCCGAGGACACCCACACUUUCCUCAUCGCUGUGGCCAAAAGGAUAAUGAAGAGAUCUUGGAAGUUCCAUGUUAAAGACAGAAGCACCAGCAUUCACAUGGCCAUGCGCAGCCGAGCUGUCUACCAUUUUGAAACUCUCCCCUUG